rnacentral:tRNA from 1 species
GGAUGCUUAGUACAACGGCAGUACGCUCGGCUGUAGACCGACAAAUAUUGGUUCGAAUCCAGUAGCAUCCA